rnacentral:rRNA from 1 species
AUGUCUAUUUCUAUGAAGAAUUUGGAUCCGGCUUUCCGCGGGGCUGGACAGAAGGACGGUUUGGAAAUAUGGCGUAUUGAAAAUUUCAAGCCAAUUCCUGUACCGACAUCUUCAUAUGGUAAAUUUUACAUGGGUGAUUCAUAUAUCAUACUAAAGACAUCAGCCUUGAAAAAGGGUUCCUUCCGCCAUGACAUCCAUUAUUGGCUUGGUAAAGAUACUAGUCAGGAUGAAGCUGGAACUGCUGCGAUUUUAACUGUGGAGCUUGAUGCUGCCCUUGGAGGGCGUGCUGUCCAGUACCGGGAAUUGCAAGGCAAUGAAACUGAAAAGUUACUCUCAUAUUUUAGACCAUGCAUCAUGCCACAGCCAGGAGGGAUAGCUUCUGGGUUCAAUCACGUAGAAGUCAAUGAGCAGGAGCACGUUACUCGGUUAUAUGUGUGCAGAGGAAAGCAUGUUGUUCAUGUUAAGGAGGUUCCUUUUGCUCGUUCUUCCCUCAACCACGAUGACAUAUUUAUUUUGGAUACCAAGUCCAAAAUUUUCCAAUUCAAUGGCUCCAACUCAUGUAUUCAAGAGAGAGCAAAAGCUCUUGAAGUUGUGCAGUAUAUCAAAGAUACUUUCCAUGAGGGGAAGUGUGAAGUCGCAGCUGUUGAGGAUGGAAAGUUGAUGGCUGAUGCGGAAGCUGGUGAAUUUUGGGCUCUGUUUGGUGGCUUUGCUCCUCUUCCGAGGAAGAUACGUUCAGAGGAGACUGGGGAAGACAUGGAAGCUGCGGCGAAAUUGCUAUGUUUUAAUCAAGGACAGCUGGAGCCUAUUAGUUUUGAAUCCUUGACGCACGAUUUGCUUGAGACAAACAAAUGCUACUUGUUAGAUUGUGGUGGUGAAAUGUAUGUUUGGAUGGGCAGAAGUACUUCUUUGCAACAGAGGAAAGGUGCAAGUGAAGCUGCCGAGAAAUUGCUCACUGAUGAUAGCCGAACAAAAUCACAUGUUAUGAAAAUGAUAGAGGGAUACGAAACAGUAGCGUUCAAGUCAAAAUUUAAUGAGUGGCCACCAACUCCUGAUUUGAAAUUGUCAUCUGAGGAUGGAAGAGGCAAAGUUGCAGCUCUCCUAAAAAAUCAAGGAUUAGAUGUCAAGGGCUUGAUGAAAAGUGCACCUGAAACAGAAGAACCCGAGCCUUACAUUGACUGCACUGGUAAUUUACAGGUCUGGCGUGUAAAUGGAAAUGCCAAGACUCUUCUGGCAUCAGCUGAACAAUCAAAAUUUUACACCGGAGAUUGCUACAUUUUUCAAUACACAUAUACUGGAGAGGACAAAGAGGAAUGUCUUAUUGGAACAUGGUUUGGGAAUAAGAGUGUUGAGGAGGAGAGGGCGUCGGCAAUUAAACUGGCUAGCAAGAUGGUUCAGGCUGCAAAAUUCCAGGCUACCAUGGCUCGUCUUUAUGAAGGGAAAGAACCAAUUCAGUUCUUUGUCAUAUUUCAAAGUCUCCAAGUGUUUAAGGGUGGUCUUAGCUCUGGAUACAAGAACUUCAUUGCUGAAAGUGGUCUGGAUGAUGAUAGUUACUCUGAAGCUGGGCUCGCGCUAUUCCGGAUUCAAGGCUCGGGAUCAGAGAACAUGCAAGCAAUUCAAGUUGAUGCAGUGGCUUCAUCAUUAAAUUCGUCAUAUUGUUACAUUCUACAUGAUGGAAACAGUGUGUUCACAUGGAUUGGGAACCUUACGACCUCGCUGGAUCACGAGUUGGUUGAGAGGCAGCUAGAUGCAAUUAAGUCAGAUCUGCCAUCCAGGUCACUAAAGGAGGGCAGAGAAACUGAUAAAUUCUGGGAAUUACUGGGUGAUAAAUUGAAGUAUUCGAACAAAAAAAUAGAAAGAGAGCAAGAAAGUGACCCUCAUCUUUUCUCAUGUAUCUUAUCCAAAGAUGGGAACUUGAAGGUCAAAGAAAUACAUCACUUUACUCAGGAUGAUCUGAUGGCAGAGGAUGUUUUUGUUCUAGAUUGUCACUCAUACAUAUUUGUUUGGGUCGGGCAGGAGGUUGAUGCUAAAGUGAAAACACAAGCCAUGGAUAUUGGAGAGAAAUUUCUUGUGCGUGAUUUCCUGAUGAAAAAUCUCUCACGAGAAACAACGAUUUUCACUGUUUCGGAAGGAAGUGAGCCUCAAAUUUUUACGAGGUUCUUCACCUGGGACUCCGCAAAAUCUUUGAUGCAUGGCAGUUCAUACCAAAGGAGGCUCGCCAUUUUGAAGGGUGGAGCAGCUAAAUUGCUUGAUAAACCAAAACGCCGAACACCAGCAGUUUCAGGAAGAAGUGCAGCACAAGAUAAAGCUCAGCGCUCAAGAAGCAUGUCCACCAGCCCAGAGUGCCACCGUAUUCGAGGCAGAUCUCCGGCCUUUGCAGCAUUAACUUCUGCCUUUGAGAAACCUAGUACCAGGAAUCUUUCCACCCCUCCACCUGCUGUUAAAAAGCUUUUCCCUAAAUCAACCGGACCUGAUACGUCGAAAGAGGCAGCUAUCAGUGAGCUCACCAGUUCUUUGGAGGGUCCCUUGAAAAGAACAAUACCGAAGUCAGUAAAAGCGGGCCAAGAGGCAGGGAAGGCAAUACAGGAGGAAGAUGGCGCAGGCGACGACGAGCCAGAGGAUGACGAGGGGCGUACAGUCUUCCCGUACGAACGCCUGGUAACCACAUCCGAGGAUCCUGCGCCCGACAUCGACAUCACCCAGCGAGAGAUCUACUUAUCGGCGGCCGAGUUCCGCGAGAAGAUCGGCAUGAAAAGGACAGCGUUCUACAAGCUCCCCAAGUGGAAGCAGAACAAGCUGAAAUCUGCAGUGCAGCUCUUUUAG